AUACGAACUGUGCGAACGUUAUUCGGAAUCACUGGGCUUAAAGGGUGCGUAGGCGGAUUAGUAGGUCAGAUGUGAAAGCCCACGGCUCAACCGUGGAAUUGCGUUUGAAACCACUAAUCUUGAGGGGAUCAGAGGAGAGCGGAACUGAUGGUGGAGCGGUGAAAUGCGUUGAUAUUAUCAGGAACACCGGUGGCGAUAGCGGCUCUCUGGGAUCCUUCUGACGCUGAGGCACGAAAGCUAGGGGAGCGAACGGGAUUAGAAACCCCAGUAGUCC
rnacentral:rRNA from 1 species